GACGAACGCUGGCGGCGUGCUUAACACAUGCAAGUCGAACGGAAAGGCCCUGCUUUUGUGGGGUGCUCGAGUGGCGAACGGGUGAGUAGCACGUGAGUAACCUGCCCUUGACUUUGGGAUAACUUCAGGAAACUGGGGCUAAUACCGGAUAGGAGCUCCUGCUGCAUGGUGGGGGUUGGAAAGUUUCGGCGGUUGGGGAUGGACUCGCGGCUUAUCAGCUUGUUGGUGGGGUAGUGGCUUACCAAGGCUUUGACGGGUAGCCGGCCUGAGAGGGUGACCGGCCACAUUGGGACUGAGAUACGGCCCAGACUCCUACGGGAGGCAGCAGUGGGGAAUAUUGCACAAUGGGCGGAAGCCUGAUGCAGCAACGCCGCGUGCGGGAUGACGGCCUUCGGGUUGUAAACCGCUUUCGCCUGUGACGAGGCGUGAGUGACGGUAAUGGGUAAAGAAGCACCGGCUAACUACGUG
rnacentral:rRNA from 1 species